GAUGAAGAACGUAGCGAAAUGCGAUAAGUAAUGUGAAUUGCAGAAUCCAGUGAAUCAUCGAAUCUUUGAACGCACAUUGCGCCCGCCAGCAUUCUGGCGGGCAUGCCUGUUCGAGCGUCAUUUCAACCCUCGACCUCCCUUUGGGGAAGUCGGCGUUGGGGACCGGCAGCACACCGCCGGCCCUGAAAUGGAGUGGCGGCCCGUCCGCGGCGACCUCUGCGUAGUAAACCAACUCGCACCGGAACCCCGACGUGGCCACGCCGUAAAACACCCAACUUCUGAACGUUGACCUCGAAUCAGGUAGGACUACCCGCUGAGCUUAAGCAUAUCAAUAAGCGGAGGA
rnacentral:misc_RNA from 1 species